UACGUAGGGGGCAAGCGUUAUCCGGAUUUACUGGGUGUAAAGGGAGCGUAGACGGUUAUGUAAGUCUGGAGUGAAAGCCCGGGGCCCAACCCCGGGACUGCUUUGGAAACUGUAGUUCUUGAGUACUGGAGAGGCAGACGGAAUUCCUAGUGUAGCGGUGAAAUGCGUAGAUAUUAGGAGGAACACCAGUGGCGAAGGCGGUCUGCUGGACAGCAACUGACGCUGAGGCGCGAAAGCGUGGGGAGCAAACAGG
rnacentral:rRNA from 1 species